UGAGAUUUAUAAACCUCAGAGGCGGAAUUAACAUAACUAUUUUUUUGUUUGGGAUUACAAAUUCUGUAUUAAUAGAGAAUUUCUCCAUCCCUGGGUAUCCAUUAGUCUUGUUUCGUUUUACGACGAUAAUAAGUAGGAUAUACCAUGAGCGCAUAAAAUGUGACCCGAAAGAUGGUGAACUAUGCCUGAUCAGGUUGAAGUCAGGGGAAACCCUGAUGGAAGACCGAAGCAGUUCUGACGUGCAAAUCGAU
rnacentral:rRNA from 1 species